rnacentral:rRNA from 1 species
GAUGAACGCUGGCGGCGUGCCUAAUACAUGCAAGUCGAGCGAAUGGAUUAAGAGCUUGCUCUUAUGAAGUUAGCGGCGGACGGGUGAGUAACACGUGGGUAACCUGCCCAUAAGACUGGGAUAACUCCGGGAAACCGGGGCUAAUACCGGAUAACAUUUUGAACCGCAUGGUUCGAAAUUGAAAGGCGGCUUCGGCUGUCACUUAUGGAUGGACCCGCGUCGCAUUAGCUAGUUGGUGAGGUAACGGCUCACCAAGGCAACGAUGCGUAGCCGAACUGAGAGGGGGAUCGGCCACACUGGGACUGAGACACGGCCAAGACUCCUCCGGGAGGCAGAAGUAGGGAAUCUUCCGCAAUGGACGAAAGUCUGACGGAGCGACGCCGCGUGAGUGAUGAAGGCUUUCGGGUCGUAAAACUCUGUUGUUAGGGAAGAACAAGUGCUAGUUGAAUAAGCUGGCACCUUGACGGUACCUAACCAGAAAGCCACGGCUAACUACGUGCCAGCAGCCGCGGUAA